rnacentral:rRNA from 1 species
GGACGGGAUUGAGUAGCUUGCUAUUCAUGAGAGUGGCGCACGGGUGCGUAACACGUAUGUAACCUACCAUCGUCAGGGGGAUAGCCUCUCGAAAGAGAGAUUAAGCCCGCAUAAAAUCACAGAACAGCAUUGUUUAAUGAUCAAAUAUUUAUAGGACGAUGAUGGGCAUGCGGAACAUUAGCUAGUUGGUAAGGUAACGGCUUACCAAGGCAACGAUGUUUAGGGGAUCUGAGAGGAUGACCCCCCACACUGGUACUGAGACACGGACCAGACUCCUACGGGAGGCAGCAGUAAGGAAUAUUGGUCAAUGGGCGGAAGCCUGAACCAGCCAUGCCGCGUGCAGGAAGACGGCCCUACGGGUUGUAAACUGCUUUUAUACGGGAAUAAACCUGGUUAUGAAUAACCAGCUGAAUGUACUGUAAGAAUAAGGAUCGGCUAACUCCGUG